GACGAACGCUGGCGGCGUGCUUAACACAUGCAAGUCGAACGGGCCUUGUCCCCUUUUUUUUUGGGGGUGGGGUUAGUGGCGAACGGGUGAGUAACACGUGAGUAACCUGCCCCUCACUUCUGGAUAACCGCUUGAAAGGGUGGCUAAUACGGGGUGUUCUGGCCUGCUCGCAUGGGUGGGUUUGGAAAGAUUCGACCGGUUUUGGUUGUUUUGGUGGGGGAUGGGCUCGCGGCCUAUCAGCUUGUUGGUGGGGUGAUGGCCUGCCAAGGCUUUGACGGGUAGCCGGCCUGAGAGGGUGGGCGGUCACACUGGGACUGAGACACGGCCCAGACUCCUACGGGAGGCAGCAGUGGGGAAUAUGGCACAAUGGGCGCAAGCCUGAUGCAGCGACGCCGCGUGAGGGAUGGAGGCCUUCGGGUUGUGAACCUCUUUCGCCAGUGAAGAAGGUCCUGCCCUUUGUGGUGGGGUUGACGGUAGCUGGGUUAAUGAAGCGCCGGCUAACUACGUG
rnacentral:rRNA from 1 species